rnacentral:misc_RNA from 1 species
AAGUCGUAACAAGGUUUCCGUAGGUGAACCUGCGGAAGGAUCAUUAACAAUUGUCCAUUUUCCUUUGCAUAUGGAUGGUUCAAAUCCAUAUCCACCUUCGUGUGCACAUCAUUGACAUGUUUGCUUUGGCAGUUUGCGGGGGAAAAAUCCUUUACCGUUUUUUUCUCUGUGGGAGGGAGAGAGAGAGAGAGGACGAAAGACCCUUUUGCUUUACUCGCCUCCUUUUCCUUCCAGCGCUGCCAGAGUUUUUUUCUCUUUCAUGUUGACAAACUUUUCUUGCUUUUUCUCGAAGCAAGGCUG